AUUAUUCAUUAUCAAGAGAUGAAAAUAUCAAUUCGAUAACAGCUCAGUGAAUUAUUUGUCAUAUGAAAAGAUUGUUGAGACAUAUAGUCAUCCUGAUG
rnacentral:snoRNA from 1 species